rnacentral:lncRNA from 1 species
AGAUUUUGGUAUAAAAAUAGAAAUAAAUAAAAAUAGUGUGAGAAACUAUUUUUAUUGGAUUUGUGGGAGUAAAACAUAAGUCAGAAAUGACCUGUGCUGAAAUCGGAAUUAAAACAGAAGAUUUAGAAUUUUCUGUUGGAAACGGGACAGAUAAAUUAGCAGAAAAUGUACAGUCUCAGAAAAUUAUGAAAAUUGGCAGAGAUGUCAGAAAUAUUUUUAUGAGGCUAGAUUUAAGGUUUCAUAUUUUUCUGACACCCGUAGAGUGAGAAAUAAAAUCCGACAGUUAUCUGAUAAAGAUUACAGUUCGGUACAGUUUUCAGUGACCAAACGGGGUCGAAACUGAACCAGCGAUCGUCAGCUUGUUAAGUUAAGUAAAACCGAACAUGACUGUCAAGUUUGAGCUCAAACGGACACUCAGGGAGCUCCGGCGAAAGUUAUCAGAUUUCAAGCUGCCCGGGAGUGAAUAGUGUUUUGAGGUGUUGACUAUAUAA